AUCGAAUCUUUGAACGCACCUUGCGCUCCUUGGUAUUCCGAGGAGCAUGCCUGUUUGAGUGUCAUUAAUAUAUCAACCUCUUCAGCUUUGUUUGUUGAGUGUUGGAUGUGGGGGUAUUCUUUUGUUGGUCUCUCUUUGAGGUCAGCUCCCCUAAAAUAUAUUAGCAGGACAAUUUGUUGACCGUUCAUUGGUGUGAUAACUAUCUACGCUAUUAACGUGAAACAGAUUCAGCUUCUAAUGGUCCAUUGACUUGGACAAAUCUUUCAUUAAUGUGACCUCAAAUCAGGUAGGACUACCCGCUGAACUUAAGCAUAUCA
rnacentral:rRNA from 1 species